rnacentral:rRNA from 1 species
CCCCUAAUCGGGGUUGCGGACAGUGUCUGGUGGGUAGUUUGACUGGGGCGGUCUCCUCCUAAAGAGUAACGGAGGAGCACGAAGGUUGGCUAAUCCUGGUCGGACAUCAGGAGGUUAGUGCAAUGGCAUAAGCCAGCUUGACUGCGAGCGUGACGGCGCGAGCAGGUGCGAAAGCAGGUCAUAGUGAUCCGGUGGUUCUGAAUGGAAGGGCCAUCGCUCAACGGAUAAAAGGUACUCCGGGGAUAACAGGCUGAUACCGCCCAAGAGUUCAUAUCGACGGCGGUGUUUGGCACCUCGAUGUCGGCUCAUCACAUCCUGGGGCUGAAGUAGGUCCCAAGGGUAUGGCUGUUCGCCAUUUAAAGUGGUACGCGAGCUGGGUUUAGAACGUCGUGAGACAGUUCGGUCCCUAUCUGCCGUGGGCGCUGGAGAACUGAGGGGGGCUGCUCCUAGUACGAGAGGACCGGAGUGGACGCAUCACUGGUGUUCGGGUUGUCAUGCCAAUGGCACUGCCCGGUAGCUAAAUGCGGAAGAGAUAAGUGCUGAAAGCAUCUAAGCACGAAACUUGCCCCGAGAUGAGUUCUCCCUGACUCCCUGAGAGUCCUGAAGGAACGUUGAAGACGACGACGUUGAUAGGCCGGGUGUGUAAGCGCAGCGAUGCGUUGAGCUAACCGGUACUAAUGAACCGUGAGGCUUAACCUU